rnacentral:rRNA from 1 species
UACGAAGGGGGCUAGCGUUGCUCGGAAUUACUGGGCGUGAAGCGCACGUAGGCGGAUUGUUAAGUCGGGGGUGAAAUCCUGGAGCUCAACUCCAGAACUGCCUUCGAUACUGGCGAUCUCGAGUUCGGGAGAGGUGAGUAGAACUGUGAGUGUAGAGGUGAAAUUCGUAGAUAUUCGCAAGAACACCAGUGGCGAAGGCGGCUCACUGGCCCGAUACUGACGCUGAGGUGCGAAAGCGUGGGGAGCAAACAGG